ensembl:snRNA U6 U6 spliceosomal RNA
GCGCUCCCUUCAGCAGCACACAUAGAACCAAAAUUGGAACAAUACCGAGAAGAUUAGCAUGGCCCCUGCCCAAGAAUGAGAUGAAAAUUCGUGAAGUGUUCCACAACAUU